rnacentral:rRNA from 1 species
GAUGAACGCUAGCUACAGGCUUAACACACGCAAGUCGAGGGGCAGCAUGAUUGAAGCUUGCUUCAAUCGAUGGCGACCGGCGCACGGGUGAGUAACACGUAUCCAACCUGCCGAUAACUCGGGGAUAGCCUUUCGAAAGAAAGAUUAAUACCCGAUAGUAUAGUAUUUCCGCAUGGUUUCACUAUUAAAGAACUUCGGUUAUCGAUGGGGAUGCGUUCCAUUAGAUAGUUGGCGGGGUAACGGCCCACCAAGUCAACGAUGGAUAGGGGUUCUGAGAGGAAGGUCCCCCACAUUGGAACUGAGACACGGUCCAAACUCCUACGGGAGGCAGCAGUGAGGAAGAUUGGUCAAUGGACGAGAGUCUGAACCAGCCAAGUAGCGUGAAGGAUGACUGCCCUAUGGGUGGUAAACUUCUUUUAUACGGGAAUAAAGUGGAGUAUGCAUACUCCUUUGUAUGUACCGUAUGAAUAAGGAUCGGCUAACUCCGUG